AUUGAACGCUGGCGGCAUGCCUCACACAUGCAAGUCGAACGGCAGCAUGGGUGCUUGCACCUGAUGGCGAGUGGCGAACGGGUGAGUAAUGCAUCGGAACGUACCCGGAAGUGGGGGAUAACGUAGCGAAAGUUACGCUAAUACCGCAUAUUCUGUGAGCAGGAAAGGGGGGGUUCGCAAGACCUCGCGCUUCCGGAGCGGCCGAUGUCGGAUUAGCUAGUUGGCGGGGUAAAGGCCCACCAAGGCAACGAUCCGUAGCGGGUCUGAGAGGAUGAUCCGCCACACUGGGACUGAGACACGGCCCAGACUCCUACAGGAGGCAGCAGUGGGGAAUUUUGGACAAUGGGGGCAACCCUGAUCCAGCCAUGCCGCGUGAGUGAAGAAGGCCUUCGGGUUGUAAAGCUCUUUCGGCCGGGAAGAAAUCGCACAGGUUAAUACCUUGUGUGGAUGACGGUACCGGAAUAAGAAGCACCGGCUAACUACGUGCCAGCAGCCGCGGUAAGAC
rnacentral:rRNA from 1 species